UACAGAGGUCUCAAGCGUUGUUCGGAUUUAUUGGGCGUAAAGGGCGCGUAGGCGGCGGGGUAAGUCGGGUGUGAAAUCUCAGGGCUCAACCCUGAAACUGCACUUGAUACUGCUCUGCUUGAGGACUGGAGAGGAGACUGGAAUUCACGGUGUAGCAGUGAAAUGCGUAGAUAUCGUGAGGAAGGCCAGUGGCGAAGGCGGGUCUCUGGACAGUUCCUGACGCUGAGGCGCGAAGGCCAGGGGGAGCAAACGGG
rnacentral:rRNA from 1 species